rnacentral:rRNA from 1 species
CCUACGGGAGGCAGCAGUGGGGAAUAUUGGACAAUGGGGGAAACCCUGAUCCAGCCAUGCCGCGUGUGUGAAGAAGGCCCUCGGGUUGUAAAGCACUUUCAGUGAGGAAGAACGCCUGGUGGUUAAUACCCAUCAGGAAAGACAUCACUCACAGAAGAAGCACCGGCUAACUCCGUGCCAGCAGCCGCGGUAAUACGGAGGGUGCGAGCGUUAAUCGGAAUUACUGGGCGUAAAGCGCGCGUAGGUGGCUUGAUAAGUCGGUUGUGAAAGCCCCGGGCUCAACCUGGGAACUGCAUCCGGAACUGUCAAGCUAGAGUGCAGGAGAGGAAGGUAGAAUUCCCGGUGUAGCGGUGAAAUGCGUAGAGAUCGGGAGGAAUACCAGUGGCGAAGGCGGCCUCCUGGACUGACACUGACACUGAGGUGCGAAAGCGUGGGUAGCAAACAGGAUUAGAUACCCUAGUAGUC